rnacentral:miRNA from 1 species
UCAGGGGAUGGGAGUGACAUGGCCUGGGGAUGCCCAGGGCUCUGACCACUGCAUCCCCUUCC